rnacentral:rRNA from 1 species
AUGGAGCUCCCGCUGCUCGCCAAGCACAACUCGGACAACCGGAUUCGCAUCGCCGCGUCCGGGGCGGUGCGGCCGCUCGUCGUGCUGCUGUCGCACCGUGACCCGCUCGGAGUCACCGCACUGCUCAACCUGUCAAUCUGCGACGAGAACAAGGCCAUCAUGGUCGAGGCCGUCAUGAUACGGCCGCUCGUGCGCGCGCUCAAGUCCGUUGCAUCGCCCGCGGCCAGGGAGAGCAUCGUGUGCACUCUGCUCCGCCUCUCCCAGCUCGACAGCGCGGCCGCUGCAGCCGCCGACCACACAAGCGCUAUCCUGCUAUUGGUACCCUCAAGACCGGCGGGGCACGCCGGAAGAAGGACGGGGUGCCUCGGCUGCGUCUCCUGUUUGGCCGGCGGUCAUGGCCAUCCGGAGCAGGAAUGA